GACGAACGCUGGCGGCGUGCUUAACACAUGCAAGUCGAACGGUGAAGGGACCGGUUUUUGCUGGUUCUGGAUGAGUGGCGAACGGGUGAGUAACACGUGAGUAACCUGCCCCCUUCUUCUGGAUAACCGCAUGAAAGUGUGGCUAAUACGGGAUAUUCUGCGCCUGCUGCAUGGUGGGUGUGGGAAAGAUAUUGUUUCGGUGGGGGAUGGGCUCGCGGCCUAUCAGCUUGUUGGUGGGGUGAUGGCCUACCAAGGCGGUGACGGGUAGCCGGCCUGAGAGGGGGGUGGGGCGCCGGGGGAGGGAGACCCGGCGCAGGCGUCGACGGGAGGCGGGUGUGGAGAUGAGAGCAGUUGGGGCGCGGGCGUGAGGCAGGGUGGCCGGGGGAGGUGUGGCGGGCGUGGUGUUGUAAACCUCGUGCGCAAGGGGAGCGGGCCUGGCGUGGGGGGGGGGGGGUUGACGGUAGCUGGAUAAGAAGCGCCGGAUAACUACGUGAGAGCAGCGGAGGUAAGAAUCGAAGAGCACACGGGUGAAC
rnacentral:rRNA from 1 species